rnacentral:rRNA from 1 species
CACGUAGGGCGCAAGCGUUGUCCGGAAUUACUGGGCGUAAAGGGCUCGUAGGCGGCCAACUAAGUCGGAUGUGAAAUCCCCAGGCUUAACUUGGGAACUGCAUCCGAUACUGGAUGGCUUGAAUCCGGGAGAGGGAUGCGGAAUUCCAGGUGUAGCGGUGAAAUGCGUAGAUAUCUGGAGGAACACCGGUGGCGAAGGCGGCAUCCUGGACCGGCAUUGACGCUGAUGAGCGAAAGCCAGGGGAGCAAACGGG